UACGGAGGGUGCAAACGUUGCUCGGAAUCAUUGGGCGUAAAGCGCACGUAGGCGGUCUGUUAAGUCGGAUGUGAAAGCCCCGGGCUCAACCCGGGAAGUGCAUACGAAACUGGCGGACUUGAAUAUGGAAGAGGGUCGCGGAAUUCCCGGUGUAGUGGUGAUAUGCGUAGAUAUCGGGAGGAACACCUGUGGCGAAGGCGGCUUUCUGGGCCUUACCUGACGCUGAGACGCGAAAGCGUGGGGAGCGAACCGG
rnacentral:rRNA from 1 species